GGCCCGCUAGCUCAAUGGUAGAGCAGUACCCUUUUAAGGUAUUGGUUCUCGGUCCGAGUCCGAGGCGGGUCA
rnacentral:tRNA from 1 species